rnacentral:rRNA from 1 species
CCUACGGGGGCUGCAGUGGGGAAUAUUGGACAAUGGGCGAAAGCCUGAUCCAGCCAUGCCGCGUGUGUGAAGAAGGCCUUCGGGUUGUAAUGCACUUUCAGUGGGGAAGAAAGCCUUGGGGCUAAUACCCUCGAGGAAGGACAUCACCCACAGAAGAAGCACCGGCUAACUCCGUGCCAGCAGCCGCGGUAAUACGGAGGGUGCGAGCGUUAAUCGGAAUUACUGGGCGUAAAGCGCGCGUAGGCGGUCUGAUAAGCCGGUUGUGAAAGCCCCGGGCUCAACCUGGGAACGGCAUCCGGAACUGUCAGGCUAGAGUGCAGGAGAGGAAGGUAGAAUUCCCGGUGUAGCGGUGAAAUGCGUAGAGAUCGGGAGGAAUACCAGUGGCGAAGGCGGCCUUCUGGACUGACACUGACGCUGAGGUGCGAAAGCGUGGGUAGCAAACAGGAUUAGAUACCCUAGUAGUC